GUAGGUGGCAAGCGUUGUCCGGAAUUAUUGGGCGUAAAGCGCGCGCAGGCGGUUCUUUAAGUCUGAUGUGAAAGCCCACGGCUCAACCGUGGAGGGUCAUUGGAAACUGGAGAACUUGAGUACAGAAGAGGAAAGCGGAAUUCCACGUGUAGCGGUGAAAUGCGUAGAGAUGUGGAGGAACACCAGUGGCGAAGGCGGCUUUCUGGUCUGUAACUGACGCUGAGGCGCGAAAGCGUGGGGAGCAAACAGGAUUAGAUACCCUGGUAGUCCACGCCGUAAACGAUGAGCGCUAAGUGUUAGGGGGGUUUCCGCCCCCCUUAGUGCUGCAGCUAACGCAUUAAGCACUCCGCCUGGGAGUACGGCCGCAAGGCUG
rnacentral:rRNA from 1 species